UUUCUGGGCCCACGCGCUGCUGGAAGUUCCUUCUUGCUUCUGAAGCAAUUCCACAUGAUCUGGCUUGGAAAGAAGAGGAUCCAGAUUUCCACGUAAUCGGUUGAUUUCAAAUUUUAGAUUUCUUAAUUUGGUAGAAAGAUAAAAUUGAAGGAUGUGUACUGAGGUAUCAUUUUGAGAUGCUGAGCUAAACUUUUUAGCACCAGUUACACUGAAAGACGACCUUUCUAAAGAAUGCCUGCAUUGCUGGUGGGGGUGGUUACAUCAAUGCUUAGGGAUCUCUCCUGGCAGUGGUUGGGACUACAUAGGCUAUUAGUGAUUAGAUUCAACGAAGUCUAAUCCAUUUUUUUUAUUGUGUAAUUUCUGGAUGGGACAUAAAAGCCCCUGAAAAAGUGAUCUUGUGAUGUAUUGAUGAAUUUCAAUAAAGGUCCUUGCUUGUU